rnacentral:rRNA from 1 species
UUUUGGUAAUAAUUUAAAGUCUAAUCUGCCCACUGAUUUAAAUUAAAGGGCUGCAGUAUAUUGACUGUACAAAGGUAGCAUAAUCAUUAGUUUUUUAAUUGAAAACUUGUAUGAAGGAUUUGAUGAAAUAUAAACUGUCUCUUAUUUAAAAUUAAAAAUUUAUUUUUUAGUUAAAAAGCUAAAAUAAUUUUAAAAGACGAGAAGACCCUAUAGAGUUUUAUAUUAAAUUAUUUUAUAAUUAUUUAUAUAAUUAAAAAUUAAAAAUGAAUUUAAUAUUUUAUUGGGGUGAUAGAAAAAUUAAAAAAACUUUUUUUAAAUUAUUAACAUAGAUAUAUGAAUAAAUGAUCCAUAAUUAAUGAUUAUAAGAAAAAAUUACCUUAGGGAUAACAGCGUAAUAUUUUUUUUUAGUUCAUAUAAAAAAAAAAGUUUGCGACCUCGAUGUUGGAUUAAGAUAAAAUUUAAAUGCAAAAGUUUAAAAGUUUUGAUCUGUUCGAUCAUUA